CAGCCGCCACGGGAAUACGAAGGGGGCUAGCGUUGCUCGGAAUUACUGGGCGUAAAGGGCGCGUAGGCGGCGCUCCAAGUUAGGCGUGAAAUUCCCGGGCUCAACCUGGGGACUGCGCUUAAGACUGGAGUGCUAGAGUAUGGAAGAGGUUAGUGGAAUUGCGAGUGUAGAGGUGAAAUUCGUAGAUAUUCGCAGGAACACCAGUGGCGAAGGCGGCUAACUGGUCCAUAACUGACGCUGAGGUGCGAAAGCGUGGGGAGCAAACAGGAUUAGAUACCCCAGUAGUCCCUGUCUCUUAUAC
rnacentral:rRNA from 1 species